UCAAAGCUAAUAAAUCAAUCGGGUAUAAAUAAGAUACAAAUUUAAAUACCAACAUAACAUAAAUUAACAUAGAAACACAUUAAAUAAUAUUAUAUAUAUGUAUUAUACGAGUGUCGACAUAAACAAAAUCAAAAUACCUCGAUUUAAGUUUUUCGAAUUUGAUUAAAAUUAAAAUUUUGCACCCAAAAGAAGGAAUCCAAAGCAUGUCUUGUGUGUA
rnacentral:lncRNA from 1 species